rnacentral:lncRNA from 1 species
AUCUAUCUAUCUAUCUAUCUAUCUAUCAAUCUAUCUAUCUAUCAUCUAUCUAAUCUAUCUAUCAUCUAUCUGUGAUGUUUUUCUUAAGGAAGUGUCUAGAAGUAUCAGCAUCAUCUGAGAGCUUGUUGGAAAGAGAAAGCUUAGAGCAGACCAUAUCAACUUAAAAAGUCUACAUUUAUCAAGAUACUCUGUAACUAUAAUCUGUAUUCACUGUAGCAUAGUUAUUGUGAAUUGUGAUGUAUUAUAUCUGGCUGAACUGUUUCAAUGGAAAGUAACAAAGAUAAAUCACAGUGAAUAUGCCCAAUACUUUUUUUUUGCCAGUAAGCACUGAAAAACAAACUUGUCUCCAUGUCAUCACCUUUGUAUAUCAGGCACCACCAGGUGCUUAUCUGUUUGUUGAAACAUACGAUUUAAUACUUACAGGGUAUAAAUACAAUCAAAUAGUGCCCUCUAAAAAUUAUAACAUUGCCACUGAUGUCAUUAAAUUUUAUUGGUUAUUUUAUUUGUUUACAUUUCAAAUAUUAUCCCCCUUCCCGGUUUCCUCUCAGAAAACUCCCUAUCCCAUCUUCCCUCCCAACUGCUUCUGUGAGGGUGCUUCCCCCACCCACCUACCCACUCCUGCCUCACCAUCCUAACAUUUCCCCACCCUUGGGCAUCAAGCUUUCACAGGACCAAGGGCCUCCCCUCCCAUUGAUGCCAGAUAAGGCCAUCCUCUGUAACAUAUGCAGCUGGAGCCAUGGGUCCCUCUAUGUGUAUUCUUUGGUUAAUGGUUUAGUCCCUGGGAGCUCUGGGGGGUGUGGUUGGUUGGUUGAUAUUGGUGUUCUCCCUAUGGGGUUGCAAACCCCUUCAGCUCAUUCAGUCCUUCCUCUAACUCCUCCAUUGUGCUCCCCAUGCUCAGUCCCAUGGGUGGAAGAGCCUCUCAGGAGACAUCCAUAUCAGGCUCCUAUCAGCAAGCACUUCUUGGCAUGAGUAAGAGUGACUGAGUUUGGUGGCUGCAUAUGGGAUGGAUCCCUAAGUAGGACAGUCUCUGGAUGGCCUUUCCUUCCGUCUUUGCUCCACUCUUUGUCCCUGUAUUUUCUUUAGACAGGAGCAUUUCUGAGUUAAAACUUUGAGAAGGGUGGUUGACCCCAUCCCUCAAAUGGGGGCUGUGCCUAACCUCUGGAUAUGGUCUCUAACAGGUUAUCUCUUCCCUUCACUGAUGGGAUUAUUAAAAGGGACAUUGUUUUACUACUUUUAUAUGAGUUGGAAUUCUGAGUUAUAAUUCAAAGUUUGUGCUUGUCCUGGAUUUUUUUCAUUGAUUGUAUUUUUUGGUGUGGUGGAAGUUACUUUUCAUUUAUUUAUCCUCUCAUCCUCUCAUAUGUUAUAUCCCAACCACAGUUUCCUCCUCUUCCUUCCUCCCCCUAAUCCCCCACCUACUCCUCCCUACUCAUCCACUCUCUUCCUUCAGAAAAGGGCAAGACUCUCAGGGAUAUUAGCAAACAUGGCAUAUCAAGUUGCAAUUACAUUAGGCCCCUCCCCUCAUAGUAAGGCUGGCAGGAGGAGGAUAAAGGUCCCAAAAGCAGGCAAAAGUGUCAGGAUUCCUUGAACUCUACCUAAUGUUAAGCACCGGAUCCCUGUAUCUUUUUCCAUCAGCUGCUGGAUGUAGCCUCUAUGAUGACAACUGGACUAUGUACCAAGCUUUGAAUACAGCAUACAGUGUCAGGAUGAAGUUUCCACACAACUUAUAUGUCACCUUUACCACUGAUUGCUAACAGAAUGGAUUGUAGGUGAAAGGUUUUGUGGCUGGGUUGGUGUCCCAAACUCUUCACUAGGAAUCUUGCUUCGUUAUAGGAGAAAACAGAGGUUUUGUUGUUGUUGCUGCUGUUUUUUUUUUAAUUAUUGAAUAAACAUUUAUACACAGAUGUGAACAUACUGAAAAUUACAUUUAGAAGAAAUAUAUAAUCUGGUUUUUUGUUCUUCAAUAUCAUGGGUAAGUGAGACAGAAUUAGAAAUUUGCUGCAAAGUUAUUUUCACAGUUUUUUAUUGUGCCUGAAAGUAUUUAUCUAUCUAUCUAAAUCCAUAACAGGGUCAAAAAUUCAGGAAUUGGCCACAUUAAGGAUGUAAAAACUCAUUAGUUCAUAAAUUGACCAGAUUCCACAGGAAGCAGUCAGAGAGAAAUCCUCUGUCUUACCAGUAUGAACUGUUGCAGGUAUUUCUGUUAAGUCUUAAUGGAUAUAGUUAUAAUAGUUGAAAAUGACUUGAUGAUUUAUUAUUUAUUUCAGUUUAUAUUUUCAUAAUAAGCCGUUAGUGUACUAGAGACAGGCAGACAUCUACCCUCUGUGUUACUGUAUCUACUUCUUUAUCAACAACCCAAGUUAUAACUUUUGCCAUAUUCCAUCUGGGCAGCUCUUACCUCCAAUUCACCAGACCCCAAAGCCAUGUUUUUAUCAUUCACUUACCCUGUGGUCCUCCUCUGACCCAAAUCCUGGGAACCAACACUCUACCUAUCUCACUUCAGCCUUUCUGGGGGGCAAGUUACAUAGUGUCACUUGGGUCAUGUGAGAAUCUCCUCUUCCCUGGGUGCAACCAGGAUCAGUAUUUAGCAUUACAAUAUAGAGCAACAGACCAAACCUCAACAAUCCCCCCUUUUUUGUCUAAAUACAAAGGCUCCUUUUCGAUAUAAUAAUAAACAACAGACAAUAGAAACACUCAUGAAACAAUUAUUAAAAUUAUUAGGUAUGAGCUAAGUUGGUUUGUCCAGUCUGUUUGUAUUUGGAAAUCUAGGUGAACGUGUUUCAUUAUCUAUCCCAUCUUGGCGAGUUUAGAGUUCAGCAUUUAAAUAACUUUAUAUCCUAAUUUUUAUCCUAAUUUGAAAUAUUAAAGUAAAAUUAUCUUCUUAGAUCUAAAACAUCUUCCUAAAUGCUAAACAACCUAAAUUUAAUUGUGAGACUGUAACUAUUUAGUCUUCAAUCCUAUCAGAGAUUUGAGAAGGAAUAUAUCCUUUCAAUGGCAUGAAUGGAAAUUUAAAUUGUAGUUUGAUUAUAUGAUCAACAAAAGAUUAUGUAUCUAUAUUUUAGGAUUAUGGUUGGUCCAGGUUUUCUGAGCCUGGGCUUAUGGUCAAUGUUAAGGUUCAUCUUUGCUGCUACUAACAGGAUGUGCCCAUUUGCAAGUAAUCUGAUUGUAGGCCCAUUUCUUUUCAGAACAAGACAGUGUACAUCAAAUUAAAGCAGAGUUCUUAAUUCUUGGUAUCCAUUAUAUUUCAGAAUUUUCAGAGCAGAAAUUCAAUGUCACAUAAAUUCUAAUGAUAACAGUAGAAGCAGAAUAGUUUUAUUUCUUAGACUAGUUAAAAUGGAACCUCUCAAAUACAGUCUUCCAAAAGUCAUCUGUUAGUUUCAAAUAAAAAUGAAGUUCAGCACUGAGUUUGCAAUCACCUGAGUCAAGAGAGGAAGCUGAGUUAUAAGUGAAUCUUUCAUCUUUAAUGUAUGUGUGUAUAGCAUGGCACAUGUGUAGUAUGCAAAGGGCACUUAAGGGACUUCCUACUCUCCUUCCACGUAUGACACCAGGAGAUUGAAUUUGGCUUGCCAUCCUUGGCAGUGAGUACCAAUACCUGCUAUGACAUCCUUUUGCCCCAUGAAUCUAUUUCAGAGUGAACACUGGAGAUAGUUUCAUAGAAAACAGUCACGAACACUCAGUAGGUAGCAGCCUCCUGAUACACACUACAAAUAUUUUGGAGAUGUCUUCUCCUACCAUAUGAGUCUGUUUAUUUAGGUUAAGGAAGGAAAUGGUUCACCCUUUGUAAAAAUAUUGGGGUUUUGUUUUAUUUGAAUUAUUUUUUACAAAUAUAAAUACAGCAAUUCUAACCCAAUUUUUUUCCAGAAAAAUAUAACAAUCUAUAAGAUUUAUAUCACAUUAUGAAUUAGUAGGGUUUAGAAUGUAAUGGUUUAACUGUAGCAGACUAAGAGUAGAGGGAACCUCCCAAGGAAAGAGCACUGAUGAAACCUGCGAGCUGAGAGGAGUCUCAGUAAAGUGCUGGCAAGUGACUUUCCCUUUAAUAAUGGGACCAAGAGAAUAAUAAUUAUCAGGUUGUUCUGGUGAACUUUGUGCUUUGGGUACUAACUGAAGAGUUUAGGUAAGUGUAGAAAAUAACAUCC